rnacentral:ncRNA from 1 species
ACUGCGAGGAUCUUCGCAAUAUACGGGAUCAACGGCAGGUUCAGGAUCAGAAGGAUCACGUUGCCGAGAUACAUGGAGAUAAUCACCGCCCAGAAGAUCUCCGGCUGAUCGACCAUCAAACGUGGGCC